rnacentral:RNase_MRP_RNA from 1 species
UUCGUGACUUACUGUAAUGCAUUGAAGCAUUUAUUGAGUGGUGGCGCAAAACCUGCAAGCCGCAUCUCGAAGGCGCGUGCUAAACGGAAUGAGGCAAUCAUGAAUGCUUUGAGACGUUCCACUCUCAACAGCAAAGCGUUUUCUACACAUGGUAGUACCGAUGUCGUCGUACCCACGGGCUUCAACAAACGAAUGCCCUCGAUGUCAUCAUCGGACGGGGCAAAGGAACUCGGUAGUUCGCUU